CGGCUUAUAACGUAUAACUUAUAAGUCAAUAAAUUAAUGAAACUUGUAUAAUACCGGUCUUUACCCUUUCUUGGUUGAAGCUAUUACUCGUUGCCCUCAGACCCUUUUGAUAUCCCUACGCUGCUGCAUCUAUCUCUCUCCCUCAUCACAGACGCCGCAUCGAUCUCGAUCCCUCUGACGCCACCUCACGUAGCUUCUCAUCAAGAUUUCGGGUUGGAAAUCGAAGCCUCAAGCAAGCAAGGCUGCUUGGCAAUUUGAUUCAGGUACAUUUGAGCUACAAACGAAGAAAAUGAGUUGUAGGAAGCAAGAAAAUGGAAAGAAAUGAAGAUUCUUGAAGGUUCUUGACGUUUCUACUUAAAACAAGGCGUGGAAGACAUGUGGAGGCAUGUGAUGGCAAGGGAAACCGAAUUGGACACAAGUUGUUCUUUAAAAAUCAAAUCCAUUACAGAUUCGGAAAACUGCCAGUGCAGAUCAGUCAACUUCAACAGAGUGUCAAAAAUCGCUCAGAGCUCAGAAAAUUAUUAUCUUUAUAUGGUUGGAAAGCUACGGAUGUCUAGUUUCCAGAACUUUUUACAGCUCGUCGAUAUCUAUUUUCUAAAAGAAGUUAUGACCGUUUUAGUGCACUGAGGUCAAGUCUGCCGGAAAUCUGUUUUGUGUCAAAGUAACUCAAUUUGGUUUCUACAUCAUCUAUCUUAGUUUGUUUUCAAACUUGGGUACCAUUUGGAAAGAACAUUCAGACUGUUAUAGUAUAAAUAUAUUAUAGUAUAAUGGCUAUAUCAUGUAAUAGGUAUUUGAGUGUAUAGACAUAGUACUUGAGUGUAUAAACAUAGGUAUGAAGACUUGUGUGGCAUAAAGCUUGUAGGGAGGCAACAAGCAUGACAGUAUGGCAAUUAUCAUCAUUGCAGCAGCCAUUUGAUGAUCAUGGUUACCAAAUUGGUUUUCUCUUAGAGCAUUCACACUACAAUGUAUUCCUAUAAAUACCUUCUUUUUUUCUUCUCACAAAAGAGGGUAUUUAUAGGAAUACAUUAUAGUGUGAAUGCUCCAAGAGAAAACCAAUUUGGUAACCAUGAUCAUAAAAUGGUUGCUGCAAUGAUGAUAAUUGUCAUGCUGCCAUGCUUGUUGCCUCCCUACAAACUUUAUGCCACACAAGUCUUCAUACCUAUGUUUAUACACUCAAGUACUAUGUCUAUACACUCAAGUACCUAUUACAUGAUAUAGUCAUUAUACUAUAAUAUAUUUAUACUAUAACAGUCUGAAUGUUCUUUCCAAAUGGUACCCAAGUUUGAAAACAAACUAAGAUAGAUGAUGUAGAAACCAAAUUGAGUUACUUUGACACAAAAUAGAUUUCUGGCAGACUUGACCUUAGUGCACUAAAACGGUCAUAACUUCUUUUAGAAAAUAGAUAUCGACGAGCUGUAAAAAGUUCUGGAAACUAGACAUCCGUAGCUUUCCAACCAUAUAAAGAUCAUAAUUUUCUGAGCUCUGAGUGAUUUUUGACACUCCGUUGAAGUUGACUGAUCUGCACUGACAGUUUUCCGAAUCUGUAAUGGAUUUGAUUUUUAAAGAACUUGUGUCCAAUUCGGUUUCCCUUGCCAUCACAUCACAUGCCUACACAUCUCUUCCUUCAUCCAAUUUUCAUCUUCUUUGUCUCCAUUUUCCUUUUUAUUCUCUAGUCUUCUAGUUCUGCAUUUUCAAGCAAAGAGGAGAAGAAGCCAUGAGCAAUCCUAGCCGCCAUUGUUCCACCUUGUGCCGUGAUAGUGAAACCUUGCAUUCAAGAUCAACGUCUCAAGUUCUUCAUCAUCCACUCCAUUCACGGUGUGUACCCUCAAUCCCCGGAUAGAACGAUCCCUAUUUAUCAUAUACUAACGAUGACAUUUUACAGUGUUAAAUUGUCACGGCCCGAAUUUUGAAUAAAUAAAUUCAAAUCCGAAACGCGAGAACAAACACAAGAAAACACACAUAAAAUUUUUUUCAUUUAAAUUAAGCAACAAAACAAACUAAGAUCACAAUGUCAAUACCGACUCGUUCUUUAGAGUCACAUAUUACAUUACAGAUAGUUUACAAAUUAAACCGAAUAAUAAUUCAAUAAGUAAACACACCCUCUACACUCACAACACAGCGGAAGACUAGAACCAAGAUACCAUACUACGUCCAAGCUACGACAGCAACAAAACCUCAGCUUCGACGACAAUUAAUCGAUAUUCUAACCUGCACAAAAACCCCUAUACCAUAGAAUAGUGCACCGGGAAUGAACAAAACAAAGUGAUUCACGUCACGCAUGCUUAUAAUUUCUCAAUUCGGGAGAUGAAUUAAAGCAACAACAUUUAACUCCACAAACACAACCAAACAUGAAGUUUAUAUCAUAUCAUAUCAACAUGCUCUGACACUCGACUCAUGCAUUUAAUUUCAUAACUAUCCAACUGACAAUCAAUACUCCAGUAAUCCAAAAUCAUGCUCCUUUUAUCUCAACUGUAUCAUUGUCACCUCAGUGACCUUCCAAAAACAUUGAAAUCCCAACAACUACUUCUUGAAAAUGUAAAUCAAGUAUAAUUCAAAAUCAAACAGAAAGUAAUCCCUGCAUGUGAAUUAGUUCAGGAGAUCACAUCAAAAGCACAUCAAGCAAUUCAUAGUAAUCUCUGCGUAUAGAUUAGUUCAGGAGAUUACAUUAAAAACAAUCAAUACAAGUUAUAGUAAUCCCUGCAUAUUGUUUAGUUCAGGAGAUUACAUUAAAAACAAUCAAUUUUGAAAACAGUAAUCCCUGCAUAUAAUUUAGUUCAGGAGAUUACGAAAGAAGACAAGCAAGUCCAUAAUAGAAAUAAACUAAAAGCCAAUACCAUUCAUCUAUUAAUAACACCAAACACCACAUCAACAAUCUCAAACAUCAAUCAUCGCCACUUUGGUCACCACUUUGGUCGCCACUUUGGUACUACUAUAUAAAUUAUCGCCACUUUGGUCACCACACAGGUCAACAACUCACACUAGAGUCGAUGAUCACCCAUCAACACCAAACUAAAGUCGAUAGUCGAUGAUCACCCAUCAACUUCGACUAGAGUAGAUGAUCACCCAUCAACUCCCAAUAAACACCAGAUCCGAAGAUCAGAAAACGGUCACCCACAAUGACUCCAGAUCCAAAGAUCAGAAAACAUUUACAAAGAAUCCCACAUGACUCAAAAUGUUACCCCAACUCGUUUUCUCAUUCAACACGACAAAUCAACAAUCCCAUGAUAUAACGUAUUUCCACAAAGAGUAAACGCACAAAACCACAUUCUAAAUAAUUCACAGUUCAUACGCACAUCACAAUGUCACGCCAUCCAUAUAUAUAUUUCACGUAAAUAUAUAUAUACGUAGUCAUUCACGCAGGAAUGACCACUAAUACCAACUAUAGUUUUAUAAAUUAUACUUCUAGAAAAUCAUUUUAUAUCAAAACAUUGUUUUAACUUACCCAUGAACCGUUGUCGAUCAAGUUCAUAUAUUUUAAAACAAAUAAUUUAUUUUGAUAAAUACGAUUUUUCAUGCUAACAAUUAAAUAUACUAAAUUAAAACAUAAAUACUUUAUCAACCGAAACACCGUGAGAUUUACUCACCUCUAAAUUCCCGCUGCGUCUUCUCUAACAGCCCAAUAAUCACCAAAUCACAACAUUCACCAACUCAAUCCUUCAAGCACCUAAUCAAAUACGAUAAAUAACUUAGCGCACAAUUCAUAAAACGCACUUAAACAACGAUCCCACGGUCGAAUCCUCAUCCGUGACCACACAAAGUCAUCGGAACAGCUCUACGAUCAACAUAUCACAAUUUGAAGUAAAUCUGACGGUCGAAUCCUCACGGAUCGCAAACCGAAGAUAACGCGUAAAACCGUAAAUCUAACAUGCAUCAACUUUUUCCAAAAUAACCUUAUAAUAUAUCAAAACGACUGUAUCGAUGCGUAGAUGCAUAAACUGAAAACAAAACACAUUUUGGAUGACCGACGCGCCGCCACAAACGACGGGUCAGCAGGCGGUCAACGCCGAGUCAACCACCUCCGAUGGCAAAGUGAUCAACUACAAACUUGUUCAAAAUGAAGGAGUGAUCAACUUUCAUACCUGGAGCUAAGCGAGAUUCGGUCUAGAUUGUCCUAGAUCAAGCUUGGAAGUUAGAUUAAUCUCGUGCGUCUGAUCAGAUUCCAGAUCGAAUGAGGGCCAUCAAAAAAGUCAAACCUUGAUCUAGCGCUCUACACCCCAAAUCGUGAUGCAAGCCUUAUAUGGGGAUGAUCAGGAGGAAGAGAACUACUCAAAACUGGGGAGGAUUGGCCCGUGCAACGCCGGCGUGGAGGAGUUCCGGCCGGGUCGGGUUUGGGGCUCGGUGGAGGGCUUCGAUCCAGCCCUGGAGGCUGCAUCUGAACAAGGCGAUGCCACGGGGCGUCUGGGCGGCUCGCGGCGAACGCGGGAAGCGCCAGGUCGUGGCCCGAGGACGCGCGACGGCGCCCCUGGCGUCGGGUCGAGCAUGACCCGUCGGGUCUGAGGAGAGAGAACGGAGAGAAUUUGGGGAGGAAAAUGGGAUUUUCGAAACUUUUGGGAUUUAUGAAAAAAUCCGGAAUUUUCUUAUAUUUAUAGAAAUUUCCCCAAAUUUCAAUCGCUCAUAACUUUCUCAUACGAACUCCGAUUCUUGCGUUCCACAUGUCCACGAACUCGUAUCGACGCGCUCUAUAAUAUCCAUGAAGGAAGUUUUCACAGAAUCCUAAUGUAUAAAAAGUCAAACUUCGUAACCCCCCUAAAACGUGCACUUCGAAUAAUUGUUCGUCCGAAAAUAAUCUCACUCCACCCUCGAACCACGAAAUCGUACCAACGAACACUUUAUUAAUCCCAUGAAACAUUUAGGAAUUAAUAGCAAAUUUCGGAGGUCUUACAUAAAUUGCGUGCUACUUUUAGCGUGUCAGAGCACCUUGCAACUAGAUCAUUCUUGAGAGGCCUUGAAGACCGACAUGCUACGAGAAGUAGGAGCUUUUGUUAGAUAUAGUUCACUGGUGACAAAACUGAGCAUGUAAAACUAUUGACCAAAAGACCAAGUAUGUUCUGUAAGCAGUGUUUGAUGCUCCUGUUGUAAUCUGUUUCACAUGGAACGCCUAGAUGAAUUUGUAAAUUAUUGCCAGAAAAUCUGUUGAUAAGUGCUUUUUCUCCAAGAAAUUUUGUUGUAACAUUGUUACGGAAACUAUUAAUGAUACUGUUAACAUUCUUUCG